rnacentral:antisense_RNA from 1 species
CUUUGAGUGAUUGACAGUAAAGCAAGAAACACUCCUUGAGAGGGAGGGGAAAAGACUUUCUUAAAUAUUUCGUUUAUGACCUGCAAAUUCAAGAAUAAAGAAAUCGAA